UUGAAAGAAAAAAAAUGGCACUAGGUGGGUAGUCUCGCUGCUGCCCAUGUUAUACAGGUUCAACUUGGGUAAAGCCUCGAAAUGGUUGUUUAAAGUUUAACUUGGAUUCUGCCAUCAGUGCUAAUAAACAGAACAUCGGUUUGGGUUCUUUGAUUCAUUGAGUCGAUGGAACAACUCUCGCUCAUAUACGCUUCAUGUUUUGCUACCACAAAAUUUAGUCUAAGAGCAAUACAACUCAACUCAUCAGAUACUCCAUGAUUCGG